rnacentral:rRNA from 1 species
CAAUAGCGUAUAUUAAAGUUGUUGCAGUUAAAAAGCUCGUAGUUGGAUUUCGGGGCAGCCUGGCUGGUCCGCCGCAAGGCGAGUACUGGUCAGCCGCCCUUCCUCUCGAAAGCCCCGACUGCUCUUUAUUGCAGUGGUCGGGUAGUUCGGGACGUUUACUUUGAAAAAAUUAGAGUGUUCAAGGCAGACCUACGCCUGAAUACAUUAGCAUGGAAUAAUGGAAGAGGACCUCGGUCCUAUUUUGUUGGUUUCCAGGACCGAAGUAAUGAUUAAGAGGGACAGUUGGGGGCAUUCGUAUUUAAUUGUCAGAGGUGAAAUUCUCGGAUUUAUGAAAGACGAACAACUGCGAAAGCAUUUGCCAAGGAUGUUUUCAUUAA